GCCCAGUCAGCUCAGUCAGUGGAGCAUGAGACUCUUAACCUCAGGAUUGUGGGUUCAAGCCUGCAGUGGACA
rfam:Picoides pubescens contig7072, whole genome shotgun sequence.